rnacentral:rRNA from 1 species
GACGAACGCUGGCGGCGUGCCUAAUACAUGCAAGUCGAGCGCAGGAAACUGACGGAACUCUUCGGAGGGAAGGCAGUGGAAUGAGCGGCGGACGGGUGAGUAACACGUAAGGAACCUGCCUCAAGGAUUGGGAUAACUCCGAGAAAUCGGAGCUAAUACCGGAUAGUUCAACGGACCGCAUGGUCCGCUGAUGAAAGGCGCUUCGGCGUCACCUUGAGAUGGCCUUGCGGUCCAUGAGCAAGUUGGGGGGGUAACGGCCCACCAAGGCGACGAUGCAUAGCCGACCUGAGAGGGUGAUCGGCCACACUGGGACUGAGACACGGCCCAGACUCCUACGGGAGGCAGCAGUAGGGAAUCUUCCACAAUGGACGAAAGUCUGAUGGAGCAACGCCGCGUGAGUGAUGAAGGUUUUCGGAUCGUAAAACUCUGUUGUAAGGGAAGAACACGUACGAGAGGAAAUGCUCGUACCUUGACGGUACCUUACGAGAAAGCCACGGCUAACUACGUGCCAGCCGCCGCGGUAAGAC